UAUCAUGCAGGUAGCUACAUAUGUACGUGUCUGUCUGGAUUGACUGGAGAUUUUUGUGAAGAAAAUAUUCCUACUACAACAGUUGAUGAUGCUGAUAAUGUUGGUCUAGCUGUUGGAUUGACUGUUGGGAUAUUGAUUCCUCUUGUCAUUGUGACACUGAUUGCUGUUAUUGUCCUGGUACUUGUGAUUGUUCGACGUAAAAGAAGCAAAAAGGAAAGUGAGAGAAAAUAUACAGAUCAACAAGAAAUGAAACAAGUGCCAAAAAAUGUGUACAACUAAUAGUAGAUAGCUCCAAGUAACUAUAACGCUUCAUAUCAUUAGUUGAUUUAGUUAGCUGCUACACUCUUUUAUAUGCUGUUUUUUAGUUUCUUUCGUGAAUUGUUUUGUAGCUAUCAUUUUUUAAUAAUUA